AAUCAUCUGAGCAGUCCCACAAUAGGACGAAACGGCCGUCUAGUGAUU
rfam:Schistosoma haematobium scaffold1349_8, whole genome shotgun sequence.